CAAUAGCGUAUAUUAAAGUUGUUGCGGUUAAAAAGCUCGUAGUUGGAUUUCUGCUGAGAACGACCGGUCCGCCCUUUGGGUGUGUAUCUGGCUCUUUCUUGGCAUCUUCUUGGUGAACGUUGCUGCACUUGACUGUGUGGAGCGCUACCCAGGACUUUUACUUUGAGGAAAUUAGAGUGUUUCAAGCAGGCAUACGCCUUGAAUACAUUAGCAUGGAAUAAUAAGAUAGGACCUCGGUUCUAUUUUGUUGGUUUCUAGAGCUGAGGUAAUGAUUAAUAGGGAUAGUUGGGGGCAUUCGUAUUUAACUGUCAGAGGUGAAAUUCUUGGAUUUGUUAAAGUCGGACUACUGCGAANGNAUUUGCNAAGGAUGUUUNCAUUG
rnacentral:rRNA from 1 species